rnacentral:rRNA from 1 species
AUGAGAGCCACUUACCAGAGAGUAAAAGGAAUUUUCUACUGGCCUGGUCUUAAACAAGAAGUGGAGCAAUUCCCAGCAAAAGUGCAAAUGCACUCAGUCUUCCAUGUUAGUCAGUUAAAAAAGCACUUGGGUCACAAGUCCAUUCCUAGACCACACCUACCUAUGGUGAAUGCAGACGGCACCAUUAAAACAGAACCAGCUCAAGUCUUGGAGGUCAGGCAAGUUCCUCGUAAAAACAUGCCGGUGGUGCAGUGGCUUAUUCAAUGGGCAAAUAUGACAACCGAAGAAGCAACUUGGGAAGAUGCCGAGUUCAUCAAGCACAUAUUUCCCGCGUUCUUCCGGAGCACGACUGAAGCUUGGAGAACCAACAACAUUACGCCGUGA